UACGAGGGGGGCGAGCGUUGUUCGGAAUUACUGGGCGUAAAGCGUGCGCAGGCGGCUAUCCAAGUCAGUGGUGAAAGCCCGGAGCUCAACUCCGGAAUUGCCAUUGAAACUGUUUAGCUCGAGUACGAGAGAGGUGAGUGGAAUUCCCAGUGUAGAGGUGAAAUUCGUAGAUAUUGGGAAGAACACCGGUGGCGAAGGCGGCUCACUGGCUCGUAACUGACGCUCAUGCACGACAGCGUGGGGAUCAAACAGG
rnacentral:rRNA from 1 species